rnacentral:lncRNA from 1 species
UGCCGAAGGACAAAGGAGGGACAGGCUGUGCUGUCCGUGAGGCCCCUGCAGGGUCAUCAACUGAACGAUUUCCGAGGCUUGGCUCCACUCCACCUACCACAUAUCUGCAGCAUCUGUGACAAGAAGGUGUUUGACUUGAAGGACUGGGAGCUACAUGUGAAAGGGAAGCUGCAUGCCCAGAAAUGCCUGCUCUUCUCAGAAAGUGCUGGCCUCCGGAGUAUACGUGCUUCAGGAGAGGGGACACUGUCUGCCUCUGCUAACAGCACAGCUGUUUAUAACCCCACUGGAAACGAGGAUUAUACCUCAAAUCUUGGAACAUCAUAUGCAGCCAUUCCAACGAGGGCCUUUGCUCAGUCAAACCCCGUGUUUCCUUCAGCUUCCUCUGGG